rnacentral:rRNA from 1 species
UACGUAGGGGGCAAGCGUUGUCCGGAUUUAUUGGGCGUAAAGAGCGUGUAGGCGGCCUGAAAGGUCAGCUGUGAAAACUCGAGGCUCAACCUCGAGACGUCGGUUGAAACCAUCUGGCUAGAGUCCGGAAGAGGAGUGUGGAAUUCCCGGUGUAGCGGUGGAAUGCGCAGAUAUCAGGAGGAACACCGAUGGCGAAGGCAGGUCUCUGGGUCAUUACUGACACUGAGAAGCGAAAGCAUGGGGAGCGAACAGG